UACGUAGGGGGCGAGCGUUUGUCCGGAAUCAUUGGGCGUAAAGCGCGUGUAGGCGGCUCGAUAAGUCUGGUGUGAAAACUGGAGGCUCAACCUCCAGCUGUCAUUGGAUACUGUCGGGCUAGAGUCCGGAAGAGGAGAGUGGAAUUCCUGGUGUAGCGGUGAAAUGCGCAGAUAUCAGGAAGAACACCCGUGGCUAAGGCGGCUCUCUAGUACGGUACUGACGCUGAGACGCGAAAGCGUGGGGAGCGAACAGG
rnacentral:rRNA from 1 species